UCGAACGCGAAAAGGGCUUCGGCUCUUAGUAGAGUGGCGAACGGGUGAGUAACACGUGGGUGACCUACCUUCGAAUGGGGGAUAACGUCCCGAAAGGGACGCUAAUACCGCAUAACAUCCUGCCUUUGAACAGGUGGAGAUCAAAGCCGGGGAUCGCAAGACCUGGCGUUUGAAGAGGGGCCCGCGUCUGAUUAGCUAGUUGGUGAGGUAACGGCCCACCAAGGCGACGAUCAGUAUCCGGCCUGAGAGGGCGGACGGACACACUGGGACUGAGACACGGCCCAGACUCCUACGGGAGGCAGCAGUGGGGAAUUGAUCGCAAUGGGCGCAAGCCUGACGACGCAACGCCGCGUGGAGGAUGAAGGUCUUCGGAUUGUAAACUCCUGUUGCCCGGGACGAAAAGCUUCGACCUAACACGUCGAAGUCUGACGGUACCGGGUGAGGAAGCCCCGGCUAACUCUGUGCCAGCAGCCGCGGUAAUACAGAGGGGGCAAGCGUUGUUCGGAAUUACUGGGCGUAAAGGGCGCGUAGGCGGCCCGCUAAGUCGAACGUGAAAUCCCCGGGCUCAACCCGGGAACUGCGUCCGAUACUGGCAGGCUUGAAUCCGGGAGAGGGAUGCGGAAUUCCAGGUGUAGCGGUGAAAUGCGUAGAUAUCUGGAGGAACACCGGUGGCGAAGGCGGCAUCCUGGACCGGCAUUGACGCUGAGGCGCGAAAGCCAGGG
rnacentral:rRNA from 1 species